UACGUAGGGGGCUAGCGUUGUCCGGAAUCAUUGGGCGUAAAGCGCGUGUAGGCGGUCCGGUAAGUCCGCUGUGAAAGUCGAGGGCUCAACCCUCGAAUGCCGUUGGAUACUGUCGGGCUAGAGUGCGGAAGAGGCGAGUGGAAUUCCUGGUGUAGCGGUGAAAUGCGCAGAUAUCAGGAGGAACACCGAUGGCGAAGGCAGCUGGCUGGGACGGUACUGACGCUGAGGCGCGAAAGCGUGGGGAGCAAACAGG
rnacentral:rRNA from 1 species